GAUGAAGAACGUAGCGAAAUGCGAUAAGUAGUGUGAAUUGCAGAAUUCAGUGAAUCAUCGAAUCUUUGAACGCACAUUGCGCCCCAUGGUAUUCCGUGGGGCAUGCCUGUUCGAGCGUCAUUUACCCCCUCAAGCUCCGCUUGGUGUUGGGCGUCUGUCCCGCUUCGCGCGCGGACUCGCCCCAAAGGUAUUGGCAGCGGUCGUGCCAACUUCUCGCGCAGCACAUUGCGCUUCUCGAGGCACCGGUGGGCCCGCGUCCAUCAAGCUCACCCCCCCAGUUUGACCUCGGAUCAGGUAGGGAUACCCGCUGAACUUAAGCAUAUCAAUAAGCGGAGGA
rnacentral:misc_RNA from 1 species